rnacentral:rRNA from 1 species
GACCGAGGGUGCAAACGUUGCUCGGAAUUACUGGGCGUAAAGCGCGUGUAGGCGGGUCGGUGUGUCGGACGUGAAAUCCCUAGGCUCAACCUAGGAACUGCGCCCGAAACUGCCGGUCUUGAGUGGUGGGGAGGGAAGUGGAAUUCCUGGUGUAGAGGUGAAAUUCGUAGAUAUCAGGAGGAACACCAGUGGCGAAGGCGGCUUCCUGGACACCAACUGACGCUGAGACGCGAAAGCGUGGGGAGCAAACAGG